UACGUAGGGUGCGAGCGUUGUCCGGAAUUACUGGGCGUAAAGAGCUCGUAGGUGGUUUGUCGCGUUGUUCGUGAAAACUCACAGCUUAACUGUGGGCGUGCGGGCGAUACGGGCAGACUGGAGUACUGCAGGGGAGACUGGAAUUCCUGGUGUAGCGGUGAAAUGCGCAGAUAUCAGGAGGAACACCGGUGGCGAAGGCGGCAUCCUGGACCGGUAUUGACGCUGAGGAGCGAAAGCCAGGGGAGCAAACGGG
rnacentral:rRNA from 1 species